GGGUCAGUAGGUUGGUCGUGCCACCGGUACGUACUGGUCUCAAUGAUUCCUCCUUCCUGAAGAACCGUAAUGCCAUUAAUUUGGUGUUGCGGGGAAACAGGACUGUUACUUUGAAAAAAUUAGAGUGUUUAAAGCAAGCUAACGCUUGAAUACAUCAGCAUGGAAUAAUGAAAUAGGACGAUCGAUCCUAUUUUGUUGGUUUCUAGGAUUGACGUA
rnacentral:rRNA from 1 species